AGCCGGGAUUGCCUUAGUACGGCGAGUGAAGCGGCAAAAGCUCAAAUUUGAAAUCUGGUACCUUCGGUGCCCGAGUUGUAAUUUGGAGAGGGCAACUUUGGGGCCGUUCCUUGUCUAUGUUCCUUGGAACAGGACGUCAUAGAGGGUGAGAAUCCCGUGUGGCGAGGAGUGCGGUUCUUUGUAAAGUGCCUUCGAAGAGUCGAGUUGUUUGGGAAUGCAGCUCUAAGUGGGUGGUAAAUUCCAUCUAAAGCUAAAUAUUGGCGAGAGACCGAUAGCGAACAAGUACAGUGAUGGAAAGAUGAAAAGAACUUUGAAAAGAGAGUGAAAAAGUACGUGAAAUUGUUGAAAGGGAAGGGCAUUUGAUCAGACAUGGUGUUUUGUGCCCUCUGCUCCUUGUGGGUAGGGGAAUCUCGCAUUUCACUGGGCCAGCAUCAGUUUUGGUG
rnacentral:rRNA from 1 species